AUUGAACGCUGGCGGCAUGCCUUACACAUGCAAGUCGAACGGCAGCACGGGUGCUUGCACCUGGUGGCGAGUGGCGAACGGGUGAGUAAUACAUCGGAACAUGUCCUGUAGUGGGGGAUAGCCCGGCGAAAGCCGGAUUAAUACCGCAUACGAUCUACGGAUGAAAGCGGGGGACCUUCGGGCCUCGCGCUAUAGGGUUGGCCGAUGGCUGAUUAGCUAGUUGGUGGGGUAAAGGCCUACCAAGGCGACGAUCAGUAGCUGGUCUGAGAGGACGACCAGCCACACUGGGACUGAGACACGGCCCAGACUCCUACGGGAGGCAGCAGUGGGGAAUUUUGGACAAUGGGCGAAAGCCUGAUCCAGCAAUGCCGCGUGUGUGAAGAAGGCCUUCGGGUUGUAAAGCACUUUUGUCCGGAAAGAAAUCCUGGGCCCUAAUACGGGCGGGGGAUGACGGUACCGGAAGAAUAAGCACCGGCUAACUACGUG
rnacentral:rRNA from 1 species